UACGUAGGUGGCAAGCGUUGUCCGGAUUUACUGGGCGUAAAGGGCGUGCAGGCGGUUUGUUUAGUCUAGGGUGAAAGCUCCCGGCUUAACUGGGAGAGGUCCUUGGAUACUGGCAAACUUGAGGGAUGCAGAGGAAAGUGGAAUUCCCGGUGUAGUGGUGAUAUGCGUAGAUAUCGGGAGGAACACCAGUGGCGAAGGCGGCUUUCUGGGCAUUUCCUGACGCUGAGACGCGAAAGCGUGGGGAGCGAACCGG
rnacentral:rRNA from 1 species